CUUCAUACACUAGAGUGAUUUAUUAUAGUUAUUUCAACUGUCCCUACCCUUUGGCUCUCAAAUUAUUCUCUUUACUGUUUACUGUUAUUAUUUAUAUUAUUGAAACUUCUAGUUACAGAGUAGAACAAGAAUGUGUUUUGCAUUCUGUGCUGCUUGGAUUCUUGUGUGGGCUGUCUCUUUGUUAUUUCCCUGAAGGACAAUGUGUGUACAAGCUGCAAUUUUCCAAUGUAGCACAGCUGUAGUUACCUUUGUAGACACACAACUGAAUUCACAGGAAUAUUCUGUAUUGCUUCACAUGGGAACCUCAUAUUAUGAGAGUGGUGUAUGAUUUCAGGCACCUGAACUGUGCAGGCUCAAAUUUCCUUCCUCUCUGUCAGGAAAUAAUUCUAAUGAGCUCUUGGAGUCAGUGGCUGAUUGCAUCGUCACACACCAGGUCUGACUGUGAAGCUGAAGGAGAGGUCAUGGCAUCCAUUUUGCUCCUAAGCAUCUCCUCAUCUCACUGAGACUGGUUGAGGGCACUCUGAGGCCAUAAAGUUGUUUACUGGUGAAGAAAACAACUUGCAGGAUGGCACGACAUUUAAUUUUCAGUGUUGCAAGGUUCAAUCAAGCAUUAUCUCUGCCUACAUACACCAGAACAGGAAGGCAGUGAUAAAUGGACACAGUGAAGAAGCUGCAUUGCAUGUGUGAGAGAUGGGAAACUGAGGCACAGCCUAAACUGCUCUGCAGUCCAUCAUCCAUCUGCAAUCCAUCAUGGAAACUUUGGGGGAUCACCUGGUUUAAAACCACCUGAGGGACCCCACUGCCUCCUCCUGUUUCUUCUACAUCCUUCAUCCCUGCAUACAGGCACCAGUGACAAGAUUUCUAAUAUAACUUGCCCUUCUUUAAGACUCUUUGUGCACAUUUACGAUGACACAAAUCAAAUAUGCAUUCUUCUCACCUGUCAUCUGCAAAGAAGCUGAGGCAGAGAAAUUUAAGUGGCUGGUCUGAAGUCGAAGAAAAAAGCCCUGAGGCACAAUACACCAUGAGGACCCUCAAGUCCUGUCUUUAAGCCUUCAUUGCCCACAGCUCUGUGCCACACAGGCUGCUCCUUACUUACGUUGUCCCUGGUCAUAAUUAAGUAGAAUAGUUCAGUAGUUCUCUACUGAGCAAUAAAACAAGAGGUUCCCAGAUCUUGCACUUACUGGGAUACCCAAGGCUGGCUUUGUCUCUAUACAUUACUCAGAUCUAAUUAGAAUCGUAAAGGAUUUUCAUGACUUUGUAGUUUUCCCUGCUCAAAAGUAAAUCCGUCCUUAAUACCAUGGAGAGCACAUACUGAGAAAGUCAGAGAGAAGAGAGAAUUAAAGGAAAGCCCAGGCGAAGGUACGGGAGAGGAUGCCAGGUACAAUCACUGAAGCAAAUAAAGUGAAUUAGUUGAGAGGCAGUUAACCGUCCUGCUGAGAGAAGGAGCUAGGGACAGAAUGGCAAAACAGGGAGAUCUGAGCAGAGAUACAGUGCGCACAGAGAUGACAUUAAGGAGUUCAGCAGCCUUUGUUCUUAUUUACAUGGGUGUGAGUUCUAGAUGACCAGCUUGACAUGGGAGUUAUUUGUAUGCUAUUGUUCUCUGUGUAGCAAAGAGCAGAAUUUGGCCUCCUUUUCAUCAUAGAGUCUUCAAUCAGUCAGAAGAGAGUGGAUUUUUUUUCACUUCUGCCAGUUGUUGAGUGAAUGAUGGGUCAACUGAUAGUUUAAAGCCACAGAAAAUAAACUUUCUGAAGCCAAUCUCUCCCUACUCAUUUAUAUACACUAAUAACACACUUGUCUUAUAGCCCGUCUGGGAUUGCUUUGUUGUUUAGGUGUCAGGCUUUCCACCACCAUUAUGCACUCUUUCCAUUCCCUAGUGGCCAGCCUUCCCAGUGCCAGCUACCUCCAUAGGAGAAGAAAGAUGUUGAGGUCGUGCAGCAUGUCCAGAGAAGUGCAGCAGAGCUGUGAAGGGUCUGGAGCACAGGCCUUAUGGGGAGCAGCUGUUGGAACUGGGAUGGUUGAGCCUGGAGAAGAGAGGCUAAAGGGAGACCUCAUCGCUUUCUAAACUCCCUGAAAGGAGUUAGCAGUGAGGUGGGGGUCAACCUCUGCUCCCAGGUAAUAGCAAUAGGAUGAGAGGGGUUGACCUUAAAUUGGGCCAGGAGAGGUUUGGAUUGGAUAUUAGGAAAAAAUUCUUCUCUGAAAGAGUGGUGACAUAUUGGAAGAGGCUGCACAGGGAAGUGAUAGAGUCACUGUCCCUGGAGGCAUUCAAGAAAAGGGUAGAUAUGACAUUUGGGGUUGGACUCUGUGAUCUCUUGAGGUGUCUUCAGACCCCUGUGAUUCCAUGACUCUGUAAAGAUCAUCAAGUCCAACCACCAACCCACCCUAGAGCAGGUACCCUACAAUAGGUCACACAGUUGGCAUCCAGACGGCUCUUAGUGGUCUUUUCCAACCUUAAUGAUUCUGUUCUAUGAUAGAACAUCCUACAGAGACCCAAGGUCUGCACUGCAUGCAGCUCUGCCAUUCGCUAUCCUUGAAAGCACUGCAGGACACCUUUUGUGGUUGCAACAGUGUUAUCUGGGGUAAUUCUGGGAAACAGAAUGAGAUCCCAUCUGGGUGAAUUGAGCCAUUUGUGGUCUGGUUCUGUGCUUUGAGAAAGCCUCAGCCACCGGUAAAACCUUGAGACCACCUAUUGAUCAACCAGGAGAAGCCAGACGCUCCUGGGAGUGCAGGUCUAGGUCCAGUAGACAACAGCAACCACAAAUGCUCUUGUUUCACAGUUUGGUUUGAUGCACGGUUUACAAUAAGGGAAGGAUUUCUAGGUGGGUAUAAUGACCUAACUAACCUUUCAGUUACAUUUGGGGAUUUCUCAAAUAUUCUUCUAAGCAUCAGAUAAUUUAGAGCUUUUCAGCACAUGAAAUGUGAACACGGUGUAGAGCAGAGCACAGACAGGAGCUAUGGCCACGAUCUGACAAACUGCCCAGAGCACAGGACACACCUGCACGCAUGGAGCACUGGCGUGGAUCCCUGGGGAGCACCAGGAGCUGCUCCAGCCAGCAACCCGCACUGCUGGGCAGAGGAGAUGCUUAAGACACAAUUUCCAUAUCAUAAUUUCAUAGGAAAAUACAGCUUAGCGCUGAACUAGAUCCAGAAAGGUAAUAAAUAAAUCAUUAAAUAAACAUUACUCAGUUUAAGCCAACUGAAGUACCCUGGUUUCAGAACAGCAAAUCAAACUGUUGCAGUUCUCUUUCCCUUGUUACAAAAACUAAUAAGGUUAAUGUUUUCUAAUGAAAUUCUUCUUAUUUUGCAGAAGUUGCAUGUUUCUAUUUAAAAAGAAAGAAAGUAGGGCUUGGUUUGGUAUUUUUGCUUUCUUACAGAAAAAAAAGUAGUAAAUUGGUGAUUUAAUUAACAUGGAUUAACUAAUACAGCUGAACUACACCUUCUGCUAAAAGACAUUCAGCAAUUAUGAGAACCAAUGCUUUCCUGCAAAAGUGGAUUUGAAGGAAAGUCAGGCAUUGCACAUCUGCCUCUGGAUUCUUAGGCAUGUUGAGUAGUUUAAGCAACCAUAAGCACAACUGAAUUUCAUUGUUAUUGUCUGCUUUGUAGAAGAAAAACUUUUUUCUUCCCACAGAAAAGACAAUACUCGAGAAAAUCAGGGAGAGGAUGGAAAGUAGCAAAGAUCUGUGAUGGUUUCCUAUGUUUGUGUGCAGCAGCCAUCCCAAUUUGCUUCCUUGAGGAGAAGAAAGGAGAGAAGAGGCUGCUACUCUGGGAUUGCUUCCCUACAUCCUUACCCACUCAGAAGGCAGUGGCAGCACAUACACCACACAGGUAGCAGCAAGGGAGGGCUGCAGCACUAUAGAAGCAUAUCCCAAAUCUGUAUAUCUGUGCCCCAGCCCUGCAAAACAGCUUCAGCUGACAGUGAUCAUUUUGCCCACCUGAGGAAGGUGAUGAUGAUGAUGCCUGCGUAGAACAGGCAGCUCUACAUACCAAAGGACUGCAAAAGCAGCAGUGUGUGGUGCCAGUGAGUACUUUGAUUUCCCCAGACAACUAACAAGGACCCCUGCACAGGCUGUUGUCUAAGCAGAGCUCCACUGGUUGUGCAUUCUGAAAUGUAUUUUCACUCUCUUUAAUGUUGCUCAGAGAAUGGCUUCAUUACACUGCUCCAGACUUCUCCUGGCUGUGCCUAUCCUAGGAGUACCCAAGCUCUGGGAAAGCAUUUUAUGCUUGCUUAAAAAUGCACCCUAUUUAUAACUCACUCCACUGUAGCAGGCAAAGUACUUUUUGCUGGACCCUUUGCCUCAUACGUACACCUAGAUGCAUAUUUUUUGUCCUCUCAGUUUUCUCAUUCACUGAGCCACAGAUAAUUAUUGCACUGGGAAUGAUAAAAGACAAGCCAGUUAAUAAAGUAAAGGCAAACAAGAAUAAAAAUAUAAACAGCUUGGGCCUCGGCCAAAGUGGAUCUGUGCCGCAGAGGCUGUGGAUGAGUUUGGCUGUCUUGAACAUGCCCUUGCCUAUUUUUCAUAGCGCCAGGGAAGGAAUAGUCCACCCACGAGUUUAAGGCUCCCACAAGUUCUUGUGUUUGUGUGGGUUCCUCCGAUUAAUUUUCCCCCUUUGCUGAGUCAGCUGAAGUAUCUCCUCAAAGUCUGACGAAGGAGGGUGCACAUUCCCCUUGCUCUAUAUCAGACUACGUUACAGUGCAGGAGAGAUGCUGAGAUGCUGUGUUCUCUGUUUGAAGAUGAGGUGAAGAAUGUGCCCCAAGAGCUGGACCUCAGGUUUUUCCCAUUGAUCAGGCAACCCUGCCUGCAGCAGGGGGGUUGGAACUGGAGGAUCUUUGAGGUCCCUUCCUACCCAAGCCAUUCUGUGAUUCUAUGAUCGUAUGACAUGAACCAAGGACAAAGAAUGGGCACAAAGCCAUUUUUCAUAUAGCCAUGAUUUAGGUGCCAGAUGUGGCUUGGGAGGGACUCUGGGUUUGAGGCCAAUUUGCUUUUGCAGUCCACACUUCCACAGAGAGUCUGUGAAUCAAACGGGGAAAUCUAUGGCCAGAACAACUCUUGGUGAGUGGACGCUAUAAGGUUUCCUAGAUUGCCAGCCUUUUACCCCAGGUUUUAUAUGAGAGAGAGCAGACUGAUGUUCUCUGCAUCUUACACAGGCUCCUUUGUAUUUGAUCAAUCAGGCACAGAAAUACCCAGAUGUGAAUGCAGAAUGACCUAUAUUCCCAGUACUUCUAUUGUAUACCUGCCUCGUAAACAUGUUUUUGACUUUACAGUAUGAAUUGCACAAUGAAAAUUGUACAACACAGCAGAACCCAGAAGGUUUGGUUCACCAUUAAUAUGAUCACCAUACGUUUUUGGGUUUCCAGAGGGUUUUUCUCUUAAAUUCCCACAGAUACUUGAAAGACUUGCUUACUGGUGUUGUAUUUGUGCGUACUGAAAAAUCAUCAGGAUUCUAGGUUCAAACCACAGUGCUGUAACACCUAAAGAAAUAAAUGCCUGAAAUAAGUAGAGAAUUAAAUGGUAAAGAUUUGUCCCCUCUAUUUUGCCAGCUCUUCCCACACCCUGCUGUGGAGGACUGAACAAUCUUUUUGUAGGCUGUGGAUAGGAUCAAUUUUUUGUCUAAUCCCCAUAUAUACUGUCUCCGCAGUUGUCUUGUUUCCAAUUUUGCAAGAUUAAGGUGCAGUUUCCAUACAGAAACAAGUUGUAUUUGUAUAGAAAUAUGCACCACACAACGCAUGCGCAUAUUGGCAUUCAGGUCUCUACACCAAAACCUAUGCAGCACAGAACCACUUACAGCUACAGGCGUUCAGCACAAGGGGUCUCCAGACCAGGAAAAGGCAAAGGGUGGAAGAAUUUAUAGGUAUCCCAUUAGGAUACCUAUAAAUGCAUGCAGCUGGGCCUAUUUGUGGCUACCAAUAGGCUUACAGUCUCUGCAUCUCAUGGCACAGAGAUUUACCUGGCUGACCUGUAAUGCAUCAUUCAGUCUGAUGUUCAUAUGCACAAUAGCAGCCCAGACAAAAUAUGCACGGGCCUGCCUUUUCAUGCUGCACAGUUUGACAUAACAACAUAAACACACGUAAAAACCAUUCAUAAACUAGUGCAGGAUGCAACCCAGACCUUCCCACUGUGCUGUGCGUGCAGUACAUUUUCCCACAUAUUUGCAGCAGACACACGCUUAUGCCUAUAAUGAAGCUCACAACACGUAGAAUCCUAAUUGCUUUUGUGAAGCCAGGUACCUGUGGACUCAACACCUACAUAAAAUACCCGGAUCACACCAGCUUUGGCUGUCCAUAUCUCCCCUGAUCCCCAUUGUGGAAACCAUUAAGAACUCUGAGAGCAGAGCUGAUUUUGCCAACCAAAUCGAAGACACAGCUUUGCAAGACGCUUCAAAUCUAGCAAAUCUGGAGAUAACAUACCUAUCUCCAGAGCACUGGUGGGGGAAAAAAAAAAAGAUUCAUUUCCAGACCUAGAAUUUUGCUAUGGAUAGCCAUUAUUUUAAAAAUAAUGAUCCGCAAAUGAUGGGUUUAAAGCGCUUUCAAUCUCUGAGUCACAAAGAAGCUAGGUACUUCCACAUACCACAUUUGAGGGGCCUGGACUGGGAUUCGGGCUGCAGAUGGAUAGUAGCAGUGCUUGUACACUUGUACUAGCAGCAGCUCCUGGUAGCAAAAUGGCCCUGAGACCAGAAAUGUAGGAAACAGAAGGGUGUUUGGAGCUGUCAGUGGGGUCUGCUGUACUGUUAGCACUAACCCACGCCAAGGCAAAAGACAUCAGAGUUUGAAGGCAGUGGUGAAUUCCUACUGGGCUCAUGUGUUGCACAAUUAGUCUGGUGAAAAAAGACUCGGAGCUGGAGGUCGUUUUCCACUGAAUCAUCGCAGAUUGGCCACUGCUGAAGGCAGAAAGCAGUGCAAAAUGGAUGGGUGAUCUCAGGAGUCACAGUAAAUCCUGUGCUCCCACUUAAUGCCGAAGCCCAAGCUCUCCUGUAACCCCUCCAAGGAAAAUGGAGUUCUGCAUGACUUCCACACAUAUUCGUAUUCAAUAAUAGAUGAGCUCAGUGAAUUCCUUGCAAAGUAGCUCCUUCUAACCAUUUCCUCUAGUUAAAUGUAAUUGUUUGUUUAAAAUCAUGAAAUGAAAGCUCAGAGGGAGCCAGAAAGUUUGACCUCCUGCGUGCACUGUAAGAGAUCCACAGCCACAGUCAGAAUUCUGCUGCUCUGUAAUGCUGACACUUUCAAAAAGUUGCUGAUAAGCCCAGAACUAAAGCCCUCUCCCUAGUGCUAAAGGAGUCUCCAUGGCCUGUUGGCAAAUCAUGGUACCUAACAUCCAUAUGUGUGUUCCUGUUCUACUUAGUAAGCUCCACACACUAUGUAGAUUCCUCUGCCCAUUCACUCAUAGAAUGAGAGAAUCAUUCCGGUUGGAAAAGACCUCUAAGGUCCCCAAGUCCAACCCCAACCCAUCCCACCAAACCCAUUGGGCACGUCCCUCAGUGCCGCAUCUCCAUGGGUCUGGAACACCUCCAGGGAUGGUGGCUCCAGCACUCCCUGGGCAGCUGUGCCACUGCAGCACCACUCUUUCUCAGAAGACAUUUUUCCUAACAUUCCUCCUCAACAUCCCCCAUUGAUCCUGCACAUUGUGGAGCCCCUGCACUGCAAUAAGCUUUGGUGUGUACAUUCCCCAAGCUCCCAAUAUCCGCACAGUUGAACUGCUGUUUGUACAGAAGACAUACAUUUACUCACAAGCUUUUCCAGUCCUUCCUGCGGGUGCUUUUGGAUGUGCUGGAAACAGCACAGACACAUCCUCAGCCGGAGAUAUUCAGCCCCCUGCCUUUCAGGCAGAUCUAAGAAGUACCAAGACAGAUGAAAGCAGUGGAUAAAAGGAAGGAGAGAGUUUCUUCUUCUGGUCUCGGGAAUAUGUUUUGGAUUCAGCAUGGGUUCAGUACACAGCUCUGCAGCAGUCCUACCCUCCAGAACAUGCUCAGCGUGGCAUUGAACCACUCUGAGCUGCAUGCAGGUCUGUCCUGUGGCCAGCACCUGGCUCCCUGAGCUUGCCAGGAAGGUACCACAGAGCACCUCCCCAUCCAUGAAGCCCCAUGGAAUGUUUGCCAUACAAACCCCGUCCUCGGGAGACACAGUCUGCAUGCAUGCAGCAGUGUUUCUGGGCGCUUUGCCCUUGUGCAGAGAGUGAUUCAGGAGACAGCAGCAUCCCUAACAGGAAAAUUUAAGCAUAUCUGACAAGUCCAGGGAAGCGAAAUGUGCUAUUUGCUUUGGCCCUUAUCCUGCAAAGACUCAGAGGUGUGUUAACUUCAUGCACAGCAAAUAGUGCCACAGCAGCAAUUAUAAAGGCAUAUAGUUUAUCGCACUGCUCAUCCCAGCUCUGCAAAGCAGCUUGACCUUCUCUGUACUAAUGCAUCCCGCACUGAGCCUCCCUGUCUCAUCCCAAGCAUGUUUGUAACUGAGAGGAAGUCUGGCUGGGAAGGCAGAAGCACAUCUGGCUGCAGGAUGUUUGUAGCACCUGAGGCAAAGCCCCAUGUAUUGUGUGCGUGCGGUUAAACCUGCGCUGUGUGUGCUUGAUAGCUGGGUAUCAGCUAGGUAUAUGGCUAUGUAAUUAUACUGCAAUUAAAUUUAAUAGCUUUGCUAACAGCUCAACUGCAGGAGAGUUUAUCUAAGAAUUUUUGUACUGGGAUUAUUAACCUUUUGUUGGCUUCAGACAUCUAUUUACACUUUUAUCCUGUCCUGUAAAAUCAUGUUUACAGUUCAGCCAGAGGUUUAGAAAAACUGUUUUUGUUGUGAUUGUUCUUUUAUAAGCCAGAACUGCUCAGCCCAAGACUAAAUCGAGCAGCAUAUUGCACAUGUGGGGAGAGUCCUUUGUGCCAAUGCCCAUGGCUGGAAGGGCUCGAUCCCAUGAGCUGGUGGUCUUCUCGAAGCUUCUAGAACACCUCUCAAAACAGACUGAGGAAGAUCUGGACAUUAUUGUAUUCCCUCAGGAAAGGAUGUGAAGUGGCACUGAGUUGUAGCAGAGGGACACAGGAAAAGAAAAGGUUGUUGAGGUGUAGCAGAAACUCUUAAAUAUCGACUUGAGAUCAGCACUCUCUCAUUAGCUGAUCUGCGCUCUCUUGCUUAAUGGACCCUGGCUAGAUAAUUGAGGGUUUCCAUCUUAUGGUCCAUGUCUGAAGCAAAUCUGUGUGCUGGAAACACCACCAGCUGGACUAUGGAAGGAGAAAUAGGAGGAGCAGCAGCCCAGGUUCCCAGUAAACAAUGCUCUCCUCAGUUAAUUCAUUGCUUUGAUAGGUUCUCCAAGGACAUGGUAGAGUAGAUUCUGUCUUCAAAGAUCAGACUUCCAUGCAAGGAUACCACACAGUGAGUUUCCAUCCUUUGCCUUGUUCAGUUCACAGGAUUCUAUCCCUCUCUUUAUUUUAACCUUUGUUAUUGUACAAGGUCUGUGUUCAGGCAUCCUCAUUUCUCUCUAUUUAUUCAGAGCGGUGAUUUCUCGUUUGCAGAUUGGAAUCUGCUUAAGCUUUCAUGGUUAUUUAUAAAGUCCUAUCCCUCCUACCGUGCCAGGUUUUGUUUUCCCGUUUUAACAUGUUUUCAGCUCCGUAAUGAUUUUUAAUCAGACAGCAAUUAAUGAUGCAAAUAAGAAAAAUGGACACUAAGGGAUUGUUACAUCUACUGCAUUAUAGUUAUUUGGAUUGUAAUAUUUCUGUCCUCUUCUUUCUUAUGUCAUUUGGAGGCCCGUUACCACAAGUGCUUAGCAACAUGUUUAAUAGUCAGCAUAGAGGAGCACAGUCCGUUGAUAUGGUACGGUCCAGUGGAGAGAGCUUUGUGCUAAAUGUCAUGAUACAUUAGCUUUUUAUGCAAGAGGUGUUUAUGGGCAAUGAAAGAUAUUAGCCUUUAACCUGUCGUUGUAUUAUAAUAAACAGGAAGACAAGGUUUGGGCCUCUGGCUACAAGAAGUCUUCAACCUACCUAGAUACAUCACAUUCUCCAUUUUAUUUUUUCAAAAAGAGAUCUAAUCUUUGGUAAAUUUACUUUUCUUUACAUCAUUAGUGCAUUAGUUUCUAGAAAGUAUUGCAGUACUAGGAAUGAAUGUUUUAGGAAUGAAGAGGAAGUCAUUUGAUGGCACGGUGUGUUCGAUGGCACCAGCUGUCUCUUUGUAGAAGAUGCUGUGAUUUCCAAGCUAGUCCUUAGCCAAUGGCUGCCCCAUUGCCCUUCCAUUAAUGCCUAUUGCAAUUAGGGGACACCUAAAACACCAGAGUCUUGAUAACCUAUGUUAUCAAUCUAUGCCUUACCUGCAAGGCAGCUCUGCUGUGGGUGUGGGUGACCUGGAAGACAAUUUCCAGUCUUUGUGUUUGAGGAAAGCCAAAGAAAUAUCAUAGUAUAGUUCUUUGAGUAAUUUCUUCUAAUUGGAGUGGAGUUUUUGGAGGCUUUUCUCUCCACUCCCAUCUAUACAAUGCAGUUUUCCAUGAAAUGUAUAAUGAUGUGUCGAUAAAUCACUAGGCAAAAUAAAUAUGCAGAUCUUUUAGUGGUGAAUGUUGCAAGAAAUAAACCUUUUGUAAUUGAUAAUUAAUGCCUUCAGGAUCAAUAACUGGCAGAAGAACCUGUAGAGUAAGUCUGAAUCAUCCAUGACUGCUCAGGAAUGAUUGAUGCUUUAGAAACAAGCCUGAGUACCAGCCAAGUGUAUAAAUUACAGCUUUAAUAUAAAAUAGCUACCCAAUGGCCUGAAACAGGUCCUGCUAGUGGCAGACACUGGCCAUUUGGCCUGUUUUAAGAGCAAUAAUACAUUUUUUCAUAAUGUUGAGAUAGGCAUAGAGGGAUGAGUAUUACUUCAGCUUGGGAAGGUAUCUCACACAAUUCAAGGACAGGCUAUCUUGCUUUCUCCUGCUAUUCACAAAGAUAGAAAAUCCAUUGGUAGAGGGUACAGGGACGGGCCUUUGGGCAUGAAUUCCCACAUGUGUGCAAUUAACUCCAAUAGUCCAAGCAGUGACUGCUGGAGCCCACAGAGAGAGCUGUUAUAUUGUGAAUCUGGGGGAAUCUGAUAUAUGGAGCAAGUAAAAUAAUCAAACCCUUCUUUUCAGGCUGUGCGGUUUGGGGAUGGAGCUAUACCUCACUGUUGAGAUCAUCCUGUCCAGUAUUUCUGAUAGAUCUCUAUUCUCUGUGUGUGUGGCUAUAGAUGUUAGAUGCACUGCAUGUCCUGUGUAUAUCAGCUCUAUGAUGUUACAUGCACCGCAACUGAAAGGACAAAUGUAAACAUACAAACAAAUACAGGCAGCUCAUAUUAUGUGCUGAGAGACCCAGUUAUCAUAAAAAGACCAAUAAGAAAGAGUAGAAGGAUGCCUGACUGCUGGAAUGACUCUUGUUUCCUUUUCAUUAUUCUUAAUAAAAGGAGAUGGUACCAAAAAAAUUGCGUUUCCCUGGUUAUUUUUCCCAGGAGAUGCUUUAUAAAAAACAGAACAUAUAACAGACUG